rnacentral:rRNA from 1 species
CAUACGGGGUGCAGCAGUGGGGAAUAUUGGACAAUGGGCGAAAGCCUGAUCCAGCCAUGCCGCGUGUGUGAAGAAGGCCUUCGGGUUGUAAAGCACUUUCAGUGGGGAAGAAAGCCUUGGGGCUAAUACCCUCGAGGAAGGACAUCACCCACAGAAGAAGCACCGGCUAACUCCGUGCCAGCAGCCGCGGUAAUACGGAGGGUGCGAGCGUUAAUCGGAAUUACUGGGCGUAAAGCGCGCGUAGGCGGUCUGAUAAGCCGGUUGUGAAAGCCCCGGGCUCAACCUGGGAACGGCAUCCGGAACUGUCAGGCUAGAGUGCAGGAGAGGAAGGUAGAAUUCCCGGUGUAGCGGUGAAAUGCGUAGAGAUCGGGAGGAAUACCAGUGGCGAAGGCGGCCUUCUGGACUGACACUGACGCUGAGGUGCGAAAGCGUGGGUAGCAAACAGGAUUAGAUACCCGGGUAGU